CCCCUAACAUCCUAUAUAUGGUCAAGAUCGACAACAAUAAGAAUAAAAAAAGAGUCCUGAAGCCUAUCGGAGGAACUAAACAGAAAGAAGAACAAAAGCAAAAGUAGCUACGAGGGGAAAUGUCUACUAGCUACAAGAAGAAAGGAAGAAAGAAACCUCUUGACUGUUGUGACUUGAAUAGAACUUCCUCCAACCCACGGCUGAGAGCAAUGAAGCAACAGAACGUGGGCACUGGAGAAAUGAAACAAAAAACAGAAGUCU
rnacentral:lncRNA from 1 species